GCUUGCUGGGUGGAUUAGUGGCGAACGGGUGAGUAACACGUGAGUAACCUGCCCUUGACUCUGGGAUAAGCCUGGGAAACUGGGUCUAAUACCGGAUAUGACUGCUCCGCGCAUGCGGUGGUGGUGGAAAGCUUUUGCGGUUUUGGAUGGACUCGCGGCCUAUCAGCUUGUUGGUGGGGUAAUGGCCUACCAAGGCGACGACGGGUAGCCGGCCUGAGAGGGUGACCGGCCACACUGGGACUGAGACACGGCCCAGACUCCUACGGGAGGCAGCAGUGGGGAAUAUUGCACAAUGGGCGCAAGCCUGAUGCAGCGACGCCGCGUGAGGGAUGACGGCCUUCGGGUUGUAAACCUCUUUCAGUAGGGAAGAAGCUUUCGGGUGACGGUACCUGCAGAAGAAGCGCCGGCUAACUACGUGCCAGCAGCCGCGGUAAUACGUAGGGCGCAAGCGUUAUCCGGAAUUAUUGGGCGUAAAGAGCUCGUAGGCGGUUUGUCGCGUCUGCUGUGAAAGACCGGGGCUCAACUCCGGUUCUGCAGUGGGUACGGGCAGACUAGAGUGAUGUAUGGGAGACUGGAAAUUCCUGGUGUAGCGGUGAAAUGCGCAGAUAU
rnacentral:rRNA from 2 species